rnacentral:tRNA from 1 species
GGGGAUAUAACUCAGUGGUAGAGCACUUGCCUAGCAUGUGGAAGGCCUUGGAUUUGAUACCCAGUAUCUCCC